UACGUAGGGUGCGAGCGUUGUCCGGAAUUACUGGGCGUAAAGAGCUCGUAGGUGGUUUGUCGCGUUGUCCGUGAAAACUCACAACUCAAUUGUGGGCGUGCGGGCGAUACGGGCAGACUGGAGUACUGCAGGGAGACUGGAAUUCCUGGUGUAGCGGUGAAAUGCGCAGAUAUCAGGAGGAACACCGGUGGCGAAGGCGGGUCUCUGGCCGAUACUGACGCUGAGGAGCGAAAGCGUGGGGAGCGAACAGG
rnacentral:rRNA from 1 species